rnacentral:lncRNA from 1 species
GGGUAACGCAUUAAAUAUAAGAAGAGAACAACGACACAACACUAAAAUGUAACACACACAGAAACGGACCAAGCAUCAGACAAAAUCCCACGAGAAUAACAAAUAUAACAUCAAAACCAAAUACAUGAAUUUGGGAUAGACAAGUACCGUGACACGUCUUAUCGCAAUGUGAAAUUACACUCAAAAAUAAGAGAAAACAAACGACGCAACGUUAAAAUGUAACACACACAGAAACGAACAAAAUAUAAACAAUGGCC